AAAUAAUGUGAAAUAUAAUUUCACAAAUUUAAUAGUGCUUAUCCGACAUUUAGUCUCAAAAACUCAAUGGUUUAUUAACCAUUCUCAAAUAAUUUUACAUGUAAUAUCUCAUAGAUUUUCACGUGAAUAUUCACAUAAAUUCACAGUACUGUAUUUACUUUUAAUGGUUCGGGAUUCCAUUAAAAGAUUCUCGCAAUAUGCCAACUGCAGUUUUUCAAUCUCAUUUAUCAAAGCACGAAGCAUUUGAUUUUUCUCAAUCAUAUUUAUCAAAGCACAAAGCAUUUGAUUUAUUCUCACUAAGAUCUUAUGUAUCACAUUCGGUAUCAAUCGGCCUCUUCACAGGCUAAUGUCAAAACAAUCAAUCAAAAUUGAUAUGAAUUUUGACUUAUAAAUUAUCGAUAUAGCUCAUUCACACAAGGAAAACAUGUAAUCAAGUAGGAAUAUAAUUCCUCUUAUUUAGAUUUUCAAUAACCAACAAUAUUGAAAACUUACAAAAACGUUUUACUUCACACAUCACAAAUCACAAAUUUAUUCUCGCAAAUCAAUAUCCACUUUUAGCCAUUCGUAAAUAAAAUCUAUGUCACGUAUAUGCAAAAUUAGGCCUUUACUAAUUACUUGCAUAUUCAAGAUUGCAAAUAAAGCAUAAUGUAUCACAUUAUCACUAUAAACAAUUUGCGAUCAUAAAAUAAGCAAUUAAGCAUAUACCAC
rnacentral:lncRNA from 1 species